UACGAAGGAUGCAAGCGUUAUCCGGAUUUAUUGGGUUUAAAGGGUGCGUAGGCGGACUUAUAAGUCAGUGGUGAAAUCUCGUUGCUUAACAACGAACGUGCCAUUGAUACUGUAGGUCUUGAGUACAGAUGCCAUUGGCGGAAUGUGUCAUGUAGCGGUGAAAUGCAUAGAUAUGACACAGAACACCGAUUGCGAAGGCAGCUGACGAAACUGUAACUGACGCUGAGGCACGAAAGCGUGGGGAUCAAACAGG
rnacentral:rRNA from 1 species